GCUCAGUCCCAGGAGGAUGCUGAAGGCAAGGAGGCGGCUCUCGGGUGCUGUGCCAGGGCAGUGAUGGUGCUCCCAUGCAGGACUCCUCGGCUGCGGGGGAUCCUCUGCUCUCCGUGCUGCGAGGCAUCCAAGUUUUGUUCAGUUACUCCUGAGUUUGGAAAACAAAGAGUAGGUAGACCAAGGUAGUGACUCAGAGAUGGAUUAGAAGAACAAACUCGAUUGCUGAGUCUUUGGGGAAGAAGACUGUAUGUUCCUGGGCUUGUAUAGAAACCAGGAGACUGGUGCCAUAAUUCUGGUGUGUGAAAUAAGAAGCAAGGCCUUCCCAACCACUGCGUUGAACCAUAAUGCCCAAACCCAGCGGUGUGUUUGCCUUGGAGCAAUGCAGUGCUCAAUACAAAUGUUACUUGACCUAGAAAAUGACAGCUCACAAGGAAAAGGAGAAGCCUUUCAAGAUUUCGAUGGUAAGUCAUGGAGACCAACUUGACAGAGAACUGUAAAUAUUGCUUAAAAGCAUAGCUCAGGGCAGUUAUGUACAGCUCAUAUGAAGCCAUUAUGACACACAUAGCUAUAUAAAAGAGUCAAGGUAGGGGAGGGAGUGUCUUUUAUUACAGCUGGAAAAAAAAGGAAUACAAUUGUUCUAAUCAAAGAGGUUAAUUACUUUUCCCUGCAAACUUUGUCUCUCAUGGCUCUGAACUACUGUGGCUACAAUGCUGCUGCUCUUUCUGCAUACCCAGUGUUGUUGACAGAACUGAUUUUACAUACAGCACAAUGUACUUGGGCUGAGAAAUAAAACAAAAGUAAUGAUUGUACGCAGUUAAACAUGCACUUAAAGCAAAGGUAAGAAAACCAAUUGAUCUUCUCCCUGUUUGUUCAAUGGAGUUGGUUAUUUUUUUGUUUAUUAUUAUUAUUAUUUUAAACAAAGUGAAAUGACAUAUUUGCUUUAUAAAAAUAAUGCCCUCUCCCUCCACAUUAGGUCCAGAAGUUCAAAUGUUGUAGAAGUAGCAGUAAAAAUAAAUAAAUAAAUAAAAGAUAAAAAGUUAAAGAAUCCACAGGCUGAACUAUUCAUGUCAGUUACUCAUUUCACAAAAGAUAUCCCUUUAUGAUUUUUUAUCCAUGAUCAAGUGAUUUUUGUCCAUGAUCAGGUGAUUAUGAGUUGAUCAUUCUUCAGAAAGUGAUGGCACAUAAUUAUAUGUAGAGAGAGAUUCUAUCUCAUUCCGAAGAAAGAUCAAUUCCUAAUCAUUUUCUUAACUUCUUAUCCAAAUAUAAUGGAGACUUUUUUAAAAAUUAAUCUUUGGUUGUAACCAAGAGCAAAGCCAAAGAAAAGACUUCAGACACCAGGUAUCAUAAGCUUUUUCUGCACAAGUUAGGUGGCAGCAACACUGACAGAAAAUAAAAAUACUUCCCUCUCCCACCUUCUUUUCCGAAGACCGAAACAAUCACUCAUUUACUAAAUGACUUUAAUGUAGAGCUACACUUAGACUAGCGUGUUAAACACCUGAAUGAGACUCAGUGUGCACAGGGUAAGAAUGAUUCAGAUACGGAGAGAUCUGCCUACCGUUUAUGUGCAUUAACAGCAGAGAUUAGUCAGUCAGCUCUGUGCAAGUGUUCAUGUGGCAAAAUGAGCAAUAAAUGGCAAUGCAUUGGAAAGCAUUAGAGGUUUUUUGGAGGAUGAGGUAGAAGGAGGGAAAAUUGCUGCUAUCUGUGGUGCAAUUUAACAAGUAACAGCAACUUUGGAAGAAUAAAAAAGCAAUCAGAGCCUCACCUAUUUGAAAUAGUGGGUCAAUUAGGUGAUUACAGAGUGAUCCCCGAUUAGUGCACUGUUGGGACAGUUCCUGCUUUUGACAUGACUUCCUGGCUAAUGUCGCUCAGGAAAUCCACAAUGGCCUGGUAUUUUAUUUGUCUGGCUGAAUUUUGUUGCUAGCGAUCACUAAAUAUAUACUCAGAAAUUUUGCUAAUAGCAAGGAACGACCGUCCCUUUGAGAAAGGUGCCCAAUGAGGUGAAUAUGGUCUGGAGGUUCAAGAUAACCUCACGAAGAACUCUUCUGUUGGUGG